rnacentral:rRNA from 3 species
UUAAGUUAUUAAGGGCGCACGGUGGAUGCCUUGGCACUAGAAGCCGAUGAAGGACGUUACUAACGACGAUAUGCUUUGGGGAGCUGUAAGUAAGCUUUGAUCCAGAGAUUUCCGAAUGGGGAAACCCAGCAUGAGUUAUGUCAUGUUAUCGAUAUGUGAAUACAUAGCAUAUCAGAAGGCACACCCGGAGAACUGAAACAUCUUAGUACCCGGAGGAAGAGAAAGAAAAUUCGAUUCCCUUAGUAGCGGCGAGCGAAACGGGAAGAGCCCAAACCAACAAGCUUGCUUGUUGGGGUUGUAGGACACUCUAUACGGAGUUACAAAGGACGACAUUAGACGAAUCAUCUGGAAAGAUGAAUCAAAGAAGGUAAUAAUCCUGUAGUCGAAAAUGUUGUCUCUCUUGAGUGGAUCCUGAGUACGACGGAGCACGUGAAAUUCCGUCGGAAUCUGGGAGGACCAUCUCCUAAGGCUAAAUACUCUCUAGUGACCGAUAGUGAACCAGUACCGUGAGGGAAAGGUGAAAAGCACCCCGGAAGGGGAGUGAAAUAGAACCUGAAACCGUGUGCUUACAAGUAGUCAGAGCCCGUUAAUGGGUGAUGGCGUGCCUUUUGUAGAAUGAACCGGCGAGUUACGAUUUGAUGCAAGGUUAAGCAGUAAAUGUGGAGCCGUAGCGAAAGCGAGUCUGAAUAGGGCGUUUAGUAUUUGGUCGUAGACCCGAAACCAGGUGAUCUACCCUUGGUCAGGUUGAAGUUCAGGUAACACUGAAUGGAGGACCGAACCGACUUACGUUGAAAAGUGAGCGGAUGAACUGAGGGUAGCGGAGAAAUUCCAAUCGAACCUGGAGAUAGCUGGUUCUCUCCGAAAUAGCUUUAGGGCUAGCCUCAAGUGAUGAUUAUUGGAGGUAGAGCACUGUUUGGACGAGGGGCCCCUCUCGGGUUACCGAAUUCAGACAAACUCCGAAUGCCAAUUAAUUUAACUUGGGAGUCAGAACAUGGGUGAUAAGGUCCGUGUUCGAAAGGGAAACAGCCCAGACCACCAGCUAAGGUCCCAAAAUAUAUGUUAAGUGGAAAAGGAUGUGGCGUUGCCCAGACAACUAGGAUGUUGGCUUAGAAGCAGCCAUCAUUUAAAGAGUGCGUAAUAGCUCACUAGUCGAGUGACACUGCGCCGAAAAUGUACCGGGGCUAAACAUAUUACCGAAGCUGUGGAUUGUCCUUUGGACAAUGGUAGGAGAGCGUUCUAAGGGCGUUGAAGCAUGAUCGUAAGGACAUGUGGAGCGCUUAGAAGUGAGAAUGCCGGUGUGAGUAGCGAAAGACGGGUGAGAAUCCCGUCCACCGAUUGACUAAGGUUUCCAGAGGAAGGCUCGUCCGCUCUGGGUUAGUCGGGUCCUAAGCUGAGGCCGACAGGCGUAGGCGAUGGAUAACAGGUUGAUAUUCCUGUACCACCUAUAAUCGUUUUAAUCGAUGGGGGGACGCAGUAGGAUAGGCGAAGCGUGCGAUUGGAUUGCACGUCUAAGCAGUAAGGCUGAGUAUUAGGCAAAUCCGGUACUCGUUAAGGCUGAGCUGUGAUGGGGAGAAGACAUUGUGUCUUCGAGUCGUUGAUUUCACACUGCCGAGAAAAGCCUCUAGAUAGAAAAUAGGUGCCCGUACCGCAAACCGACACAGGUAGUCAAGAUGAGAAUUCUAAGGUGAGCGAGCGAACUCUCGUUAAGGAACUCGGCAAAAUGACCCCGUAACUUCGGGAGAAGGGGUGCUCUUUAGGGUUAACGCCCAGAAGAGCCGCAGUGAAUAGGCCCAAGCGACUGUUUAUCAAAAACACAGGUCUCUGCUAAACCGUAAGGUGAUGUAUAGGGGCUGACGCCUGCCCGGUGCUGGAAGGUUAAGAGGAGUGGUUAGCUUCUGCGAAGCUACGAAUCGAAGCCCCAGUAAACGGCGGCCGUAACUAUAACGGUCCUAAGGUAGCGAAAUUCCUUGUCGGGUAAGUUCCGACCCGCACGAAAGGCGUAACGAUUUGGGCACUGUCUCAACGAGAGACUCGGUGAAAUCAUAGUACCUGUGAAGAUGCAGGUUACCCGCGACAGGACGGAAAGACCCCGUGGAGCUUUACUGUAGCCUGAUAUUGAAAUUCGGCACAGCUUGUACAGGAUAGGUAGGAGCCUUUGAAACGUGAGCGCUAGCUUACGUGGAGGCGCUGGUGGGAUACUACCCUAGCUGUGUUGGCUUUCUAACCCGCACCACUUAUCGUGGUGGGAGACAGUGUCAGGCGGGCAGUUUGACUGGGGCGGUCGCCUCCUAAAAGGUAACGGAGGCGCUCAAAGGUUCCCUCAGAAUGGUUGGAAAUCAUUCAUAGAGUGUAAAGGCAUAAGGGAGCUUGACUGCGAGACCUACAAGUCGAGCAGGGUCGAAAGACGGACUUAGUGAUCCGGUGGUUCCGCAUGGAAGGGCCAUCGCUCAACGGAUAAAAGCUACCCCGGGGAUAACAGGCUUAUCUCCCCCAAGAGUUCACAUCGACGGGGAGGUUUGGCACCUCGAUGUCGGCUCAUCGCAUCCUGGGGCUGUAGUCGGUCCCAAGGGUUGGGCUGUUCGCCCAUUAAAGCGGUACGCGAGCUGGGUUCAGAACGUCGUGAGACAGUUCGGUCCCUAUCCGUCGUGGGCGUAGGAAAUUUGAGAGGAGCUGUCCUUAGUACGAGAGGACCGGGAUGGACAUACCUCUGGUGUACCAGUUGUCGUGCCAGCGGCAUAGCUGGGUAGCUAUGUGUGGACGGGAUAAGUGCUGAAAGCAUCUAAGCAUGAAGCCCCCCUCAAGAUGAGAUUUCCCAACUUCGGUUAUAAGAUCCCUCAAAGAUGAUGAGGUUAAUAGGUUCGAGGUGGAAGCAUGGUGACAUGUGGAGCUGACGAAUACUAAUCGAUCGAAGACUUAAUCAA